rnacentral:rRNA from 1 species
GUAAGGAAUAUUGGUCAAUGGGCGCAAGCCUGAACCAGCCAUGCCGCGUGCAGGAAGACGGCCCUAUGGGUUGUAAACUGCUUUUAUCAGGGAAUAAACCCCCGCUCGUGAGCGGGGCUGAAGGUACCUGAAGAAUAAGCAUCGGCUAACUCCGUGCCAGCAGCCGCGGUAAUACGGAGGAUGCAAGCGUUAUCCGGAUUCAUUGGGUUUAAAGGGUGCGCAGGCGGAUUGGUAAGUCAGGGGUGAAAUCCCACAGCUCAACUGUGGAACUGCCUUUGAUACUGUCAGUCUAGAGUAUAGUUGAAGUUGGCGGAAUGUGUCAUGUAGCGGUGAAAUGCUUAGAUAUGACACAGAACACCGAUCGCGAAGGCAGCUAGCUAAGCUAUAACUGACGCUCAUGCACGAAAGCGUGGGGAUCAAACAGGAUUAGAAACCCUGGUAGUCC